AUCUAACAAAAGAUUCUUCUUCUUCUAACCUAAAAAGCUCAAUAAUAAUAAUAAUCUCUGUUUGGGAAUAAUUUAGAUCCGAAGAAUGGGAAACGCUCUAAGAUCUUUGUAUGUUAAUUGCUGCAAACCUUCAGCAGACUCUGAUUCCCUCACCCAUCAUCCUGGCGUUUCCGCUUUAGCACACGAUCUCUACAACUUUGAAAUCAACUCACAGGUUCCUCAAGGACUAAGUACGCAUGUUGUAUCAUCCAAGAAGGCGCAAUCUAACUGGUUUAAGAAACUUUCGGAUGCGUGGAGAGAAACAAAGCCUCCUCCUAAAACACCCGAAGAAGCUUCAAGGUUUGUCAUUCAGACCUUGAAGAGACAUCAAAAAGCAGAUGUUGAGGGGUUACUGGCUUUCUAUGGUCUUCCUCUUCCUCACUCCUUAGUAGAACUAACUAGUGAUGGCACUCCUCCAUCACACCAACAAGGGCUCAAGUUUGAAUUGCAUACUCUCCCUGUGGACGCAAAGGCUGUGGCAGACGGAGAUACAGUAACUGUAUAUGUUAGUACAACAGAUCCUAGAGAGGCAUCAUGUCUCCCAAGAGACGUGCAAAAUGCAGCUAUUCAAAGAUCAAAGGCACGGGCUCAGAAAAAUUAUGCAAAAGCAGAUCAACUGCACAAACAGAUCAUAGAUUCAGGAUAUAGGUAAGUUGCAUAAAGCAUACCUUGGUCUCUUCUUUAACUUUCAUUUCAACCAUUUUGUUGAGAUUCUGUCACAGGUCAAUACCAGUGAACCAUGAGGAAGUUCUUGCUCGAAAAUAUAGAAUCAGAUUAAGGGGGAUAGAUGCACCAGAAAGUGCAAUGCCAUAUGGUAAAGAGGCCAAGGAAGAACUGACUAAAGUUCUCCAGGGUAAGAGUUUAAGGGUCUUAGUUUUUGAUGAAGAUCGUUAUGGCCGCUAUGUAGGGGAUAUAUACUGCAAUGGCAUAUUUGCACAGGAA
rnacentral:misc_RNA from 1 species